rnacentral:rRNA from 1 species
UCAACGCUGGCGGCGUGCCUAACACAUGCAAGUCGAACGCGAAAGUGGAGCAAUCCAUGAGUAGAGUGGCAAACGGGUGAGUAACACGUGGGCGACCUACCUCAGAGUGGGGGAUAACCUUCCGAAAGGAGGGCUAAUACCGCAUGACAUCCCGUGUUUGGAUACACGGAGAUCAAAGCCGGGGAUCGCAAGGCCUGGCGCUUGGAGAGGGGCCCGCGUCCGAUUAGCUAGUUGGUGAGGUAACGGCUCACCAAGGCUCCGAUCGGUAUCCGGCCUGAGAGGGCGGACGGACACACUGGAACUGAGACACGGUCCAGACUCCUACGGGAGGCAGCAGUGGGGAAUUGUUCGCAAUGGGCGAAAGCCUGACGACGCAACGCCGCGUGGAGGAUGAAGAAUUUCGGUUCGUAAACUCCUUUCGACCGAGAUGAACACCCCGCAACCCAAUACGUUGCGGGACUGACAGUAUCGAGAGAAGAAGCCCCGGCUAACUCUGCGCCAGCAG